rnacentral:rRNA from 1 species
UGGCGGCGUGCCUAACACAUGCAAGUCGAACGAGAAAAUGGAGCAAUCCAUGAGUAAAGUGGCGACCGGGUGAGUAACACGUGACUAACCUACCUCCGAGUGGGGAAUAACUCCGGGAAACCGGGGCUAAUACCGCAUAACAUCGCAAGAUCAAAGCAGCAAUGCGCUUGGAGAGGGGGUCGCGGCUGAUUAGCUAGUUGGCGGGGUAACGGCCCACCAAGGCGAAGAUCGGUAUCCGGCCUGAGAGGGCGCACGGACACACUGGAACUGAAACACGGUCCANACUCCUACGGGAGGCAGCAGUGGGGAAUUUUGCGCAAUGGGGGAAACCCUGACGCAGCAACGCCGCGUGGAGGAUGAAGCCCUUUGGGGCGUAAACUCCUUUCGACUCGGACGAUAAUGAC